rnacentral:rRNA from 1 species
GACGAACGCUGGCGGCGUGCCUAAUACAUGCAAGUAGAACGCUGAAGAGAGGAGCUUGCUCUUCUUGGAUGAGUUGCGAACGGGUGAGUAACGCGUAGGUAACCUGCCUGGUAGCGGGGGAUAACUAUUGGAAACGAUAGCUAAUACCGCAUAAAAUGGAUUAUCGCAUGAUAAUCCAUUGAAAGGUGCAAAUGCAUCACUACCAGAUGGACCUGCGUUGUAUUAGCUAGUUGGUGGGGUAACGGCUCACCAAGGCGACGAUACAUAGCCGACCUGAGAGGGUGAUCGGCCACACUGGGACUUAGACAACGCCCAGACUCCUACGGGAGGCAGCAGUAGGGAAUCUUCGGCAAUGGACGGAAGUCUGACCGAGCAACGCCGCGUGAGUGAAGAAGGUUUUCGGAUCGUAAAGCUCUGUUGUAAGAGAAGAACGAGUGUGAGAGUGGAAAGUUCACACUGUGACGGUAUCUUACCAGAAAGGGACGGCUAACUACGUG